GUAGGUGAACCUGCGGAAGGAUCAUUAAAAAAUAAUCCAUAUGGAUUAUAAAUCCAUACCCACCUUUUGUGCACCGUAACUUGUCCAUUGUUUUCCUUCCCAGAUUGUUUUUUAACACGAGUAGUCACUAUUUUAAAUAUGUGUUUGCGAACGUUAGAAAUGCUGGGAGGGAGAGCGGUAUAUCACACACCUUUUUAAUUUACCUAGUCUGAAGUAUAAACUUUUGCGAAAGCAGAAAUUAUAAAAACAACUUUCAACAACGGAUCUCUUGGCUCCC
rnacentral:misc_RNA from 1 species